CACACAGGGAAACGCACUUCCGGCCUCGCUCGCGCUGCUUCAGGCAUUUUAGCGCCAUGGUAACGGCGGGGAGUCCUCGCUUUUGCCACCAGAGACCCCGCUGAGGUUUCAUUACUCUGUCCUGUGUUAUACAGCUCUAAAGUUAUAGGGUAUCACCUUGUAUUUGAAACCGCCAUGUGGGGCGUGUCCUCAUUGCUUAUUUUGAGUUUUUAGCUUGGAAUUGUUUUUCUACAAUAUGGAUAUGAGCCGAUAAACCAAGUGAAUAGGGAGGUUACAGCUGAGUACUAAUUGGAUCAGCCUCCAGAUGUAGAGUGGAGUCCAACCCCAAACAGCAGAAAACCACAUACUAUACUUGAGGUAUGAUAAACCAUGCAGACUCCAGUGCCCAUCAGGAAUCAUUGUUGCCAAGAACAGAUGACAGGUGCCAUCAGAAGUGCUAACAGCUGUGUUGAUUGUGAACACUGCUUCCCCUGGCCAAGUGCACUGACCAGGACUGUGCAUAAGAGUUGUCAUGGCAACCGCCGGGUAAGAUGAGGGAUGAUGUAAUCGGGCGGUGCCGCUCUCACUUGGCAGCGGAAGCCUGGUUCAAGGCGUGGAAUGCGGGAGGAGAUCAGUGGGCACUGGUAGGGUGUAUAACGUAAGAGUUUUUAUGUUAUGUUUGCUGUCUCAUUCUGAAGACUGUGUGUG